rnacentral:lncRNA from 1 species
GGGUAGAUUUACAAGACUCAACUGCUAUUGGGUAGAUUUACAAGACUUCUUUUGCAUUUUGGCAGGGUUCUUCAAUGGCUGGCUAGGUGCCGAGUGCAGAGCCUAGCGUCGAGUGCAGAAGUGGGCAUGGAGUAAUGACGUGGUUUCCAGGCGCGGAUGGUGCAUGUCCAGGCUCCCGGAGAGGGAGGGGGUGUGCCCGAGCUUCCGGCGAGGCAGCCGGCCUCACAAGGACACCAGACUGAAACAGGGACAGAACUGCACACUGGGAGAUUUGUGAGCAGAAGACCAUGACUCACAAAAAUAAUAAACGAGGUCCCAGCUCUCGUGAAGUGCAGCUUGCACUCGCAUAAGCAGGAGAACGACCGGAGCAGAUAUCUAUAUUCUGGAAGAGUCACUGGAUGACCAUGAGGUGUAAGACUGAUAUGAUGAGGGCAAGGGCUGUUGCUGUCAUCCUCAAGACAGAUGCUGGUGGCCUACAUCAGGGAGGAGCCUCGGACGACGAGGAGGGAGAACCACUUGGCAAGCCAGAUGAGAAGACUUGGACUCCAAGGGGUUUCAGCUACGAUAUCGCUUCAUUUUACAUUUUUACAAACUGGG